AUUGAACGCUGGCGGCAGGCCUAAUACAUGCAAGUCGAGCGGAGUUGCGGACGGGCGGGUAAUUCCUACGAAUCUGCCUGACAGUUGGGGAUAACGUCAGUACACGGGCCCUAAUACCGCAUCCUACCAUAUGAGCUUAGGUCGGAUUAGCUAGUUUGUGGGGUAAAGGCCAACCAAGGCGACGAUCCGUAACUGGUCUGAGAGGAUGAUCAGUCACACUGGAACUGAGACACGGUCCAGACUCCUACGGGAGGCAGCAGUGGGGAAUAUUGGACAAUGGGCGAAAGCCUGAUCCAGCCAUGCCGCGUGUGUGAAGAAGGUCUUCGGAUUGUAAAGCACUUUAAGUUGGGAGGCGUUACCAACAGAAUAAGCACCGGCUAACUUCGUGCCAGCCGCCGCGGUAAUUC
rnacentral:rRNA from 1 species